UACGUAGGGACCAAGCGUUGUCCGGAAUCACUGGGUGUAAAGGGUGCGUAGGCGGCGCGGUAAGUCGGGUGUGAAAUCUCGGAGCUUAACUUCGAAACUGCAUUCGAUACUGCCGUGCUCGAGGACUGGAGAGGAGACUGGAAUUUACGGUGUAGCGGUGAAAUGCGUAGAUAUCGUAAGGAAGACCAGUGGCGAAGGCGGGUCUCUGGACAGUUCCUGACGCUGAGGCACGAAGGUCAGGGGAGCAAACGGG
rnacentral:rRNA from 1 species